GAUGAAGAACGUAGCGAAAUGCGAUAAGUAAUGUGAAUUGCAGAAUUCAGUGAAUCAUCGAAUCUUUGAACGCACAUUGCGCCCGCCAGCACUCUGGCGGGCAUGCCUGUUCGAGUGUCAUUUCAACCAUCAAGCCCCCAGGGGCUUGUGCUGGGGCCCUGCGGCUGCCCGCAGGCCCUGAAAACCAGUGGCGGGCUCGCUAGUCACACCGAGCGCAGUAGCACAUCUCGCUCAGGGCGUGCGGCGGGCUCCUGCCGUGAAACCCCCCACUGUAACCCCAAAGGUUGACCUCGGAUCAGGUAGGAAUACCCGCUGAACUUAAGCAUAUCAAUAAGCGGAGGA
rnacentral:misc_RNA from 1 species